rnacentral:tRNA from 2 species
AUAGUGGCUCAGUUGGUAGAGCAUUGGCUUCCCAAGCCGAGGGUCGCGGGUUCGAGUCCCGUCUAU